CACAUUAAUGAAAAUCACUGUUUUUAUAUACCAAUUUUUUUUCACUAAAACAUUCAUUUUAGAACCACAGUAGAGAUCAGAAGCAACAUAUUUGACUAAAAGUCUCUUCGAAUUUUAAGAAAAAAUAGAAAGAGAACUGUAUCAACAUGCCGGGUGAAACUCCAAUGACUACAGAUGCGGCCGCAAGAGCCCAGAGCAGCGAGGCCACACAAAGCGGAACCGGCCAAGUGGAAUCGGGAGGAUUCGCCUCCAGGGCGCAAGGAGCUGCUGACAAAAAUGUGAAUCAAGGAAUAACUGAGCACCAGGGAGGCAAAAAGGGAUAAUCGCGAGGACAAAUGGAGUGAACUUUAAUCAUUCAGUGGCUAUGGGCUCAUUAUUCAAUGUAUAUACCUAAAUUCUAAUGAAAAUAU